GAAUAGCAAACAUUUAUUGGUACGAUGAAGACGAGUUAUAUUUUCAUUGUUUAAAAGGGAAGCCUGUGUGAUUCAGGCGCUGUCCCGCAACUGUAUUUGGGAGUUUAUAAGCGGUACCACUGUUUUUCAUAAAUUAGAAAAUGGGGAGGGGCUUAUAAACGAAGAUCAUAAGUCAGGAGACCUGCCAUAGAUGAGCAUCAAUU
rnacentral:ncRNA from 1 species